rnacentral:rRNA from 1 species
UACGGGAGGAUCCAAGCGUUAUCCGGAUUCAUUGGGUUUAAAGGGUGCGUAGGCGGAAUGAUAAGUCAGUGGUGAAAGCCUGCAGCUUAACUGCAGAACUGCCAUUGAUACUGUCAAUCUUGAGUACAUUUGAUGUGGGCGGAAUGUGUCAUGUAGCGGUGAAAUGCUUAGAUAUGACACAGAACACCGAUUGCGAAGGCAGCUCACAAAACUGUAAACUGACG